rnacentral:rRNA from 1 species
AUUGAACGCUGGCGGCAGGCCUAACACAUGCAAGUCGAACGAGUGGCGGACGGGUGAGUAAUGUCUGGGAAACUGCCUGAUGGAGGGGGAUAACUACUGGAAACGGUAGCUAAUAACGCAUACCAUCGGAUGUGCCCAGAUGGGAUUAGCUAGUAGGUGGGGUAAAGGCUCACCUAGGCGACGAUCCCUAGCUGGUCGGAGAGGAUGACCAGUCACACUGGAACUGCGACACGGUCCAGACUCCUACGGGAGGUAGCAGUGGGGAAUAUUGCACAAUUGGCGGAAGCCUGAUGCAUCCAUGCCUCGUGUAUGAAGAAGGCCUUCGGUUUGUAAAGUACUUUCAGCGGGGAGGCGUUACCCUCAGAAGAAGCACCGGCUAACUCCGUGCCAGCAGCCGCGGUAAUAC